rnacentral:rRNA from 1 species
UACGUAGGUGGCAAGCGUUGUCCGGAAUUAUUGGGCGUAAAGCGCGCGCAGGCGGUCCUUUAAGUCUGAUGUGAAAGCCCACGGCUCAACCGUGGAGGGUCAUUGGAAACUGGGGGACUUGAGUACAGAAGAGAAGAGUGGAAUUCCACGUGUAGCGGUGAAAUGCGUAGAGAUGUGGAGGAACACCAGUGGCGAAGGCGACUCACUGGCCCGAUACUGACGCUGAGGCACGAAAGCGUGGGGAGCAAACAGG